UCCUACGGGGGGCAGCAGUGGGGAAUAUUGGACAAUGGGCGAAAGCCUGAUCCAGCAAUGCCGCGUGAGUGAUGAAGGCCUUAGGGUUGUAAAGCUCUUUUACCAGGGAUGAUAAUGACAGUACCUGGAGAAUAAGCUCCGGCUAACUCCGUGCCAGCAGCCGCGGUAAUACGGAGGGAGCUAGCGUUGUUCGGAAUUACUGGGCGUAACGCGCACGUAGGCGGCUACUCAAGUCAGAGGUGAAAGCCCGGGGCUAAACCCCGGAACUGCCUUUGAAACUAGGUAGCUAGAAUCUUGGAGAGGUCAGUGGAAUUCCGAGUGUAGAGGUGAAAUUCGUAGAUAUUCGGAAGAACACCAGUGGCGAAGGCGACUGACUGGACAAGUAUUGACGCUGAGGUGCGAAAGCGUGGGGAGCAAACAGGAUUAGAUACCCCUGUAGUCU
rnacentral:rRNA from 1 species